GUGGCGUGGCGGUGCAUCACUUAAGAAUACUCGUGAAACUUUGUCCAGUAGUAGUGUUGGCAUCUAUCAAUAUCAUUACCAUUGGAAAAAUUACAACAGCAAAAAUACUUUUCCUACUGUUGUUGGUGCUGUGUAAUGAUGAUACUAGUGGUAAUAUUAGUGCUCUUAAGUGGUGUAGGCCUGCUUUGAGUGCCUACAGUGCUGGCGAUGUGUGAAAGGGAGUGGAGGACGCUGGAGAGGAGACGGAAUAUGACGAGGAGUAGAGGAAGAAAGAAUGAGGAGACGAAAUAGAAAAAAUAGUAAGAUGAAGAACAAGAAAAAAAGAAGGAAGAAGAAAAGAAACGACAACAACAACAACAACAACAACAGCAGCAGCAGCAACGGGCAACAACAGCAACAACAACAGCAACGGGCAACAACAACAACAACAACAACAACAACAACAACAGCAACAGCAACGGGCAACAACAACAACAACAACAACAACAACAACAACAACAACAACAACAGCAACGGGCAACAACAACAACACCAACGGGCAACAACAAUAACAACAACAACAACAACAACAGCAACGGGCAACAACAACAACAACAACAACAGCAACGGGCAACAACAACAACAACAACAACAGCAACGGGCAACAACAACAACAGCAACGGGCAACAACAAUAACAACAACAGCAACAACAACGGGCAACAACAACAACAAC